GCCACGUGUCUUCCAAUAAUUCGUUUCACGCUUUUACUGCAUUUUUUAGUAAUUGUACAUUUUUUCAGCAAAUCGAAAGCAUCAAGACAGCAUUUCCACUCGAAUCACUCAAACAUCCAAGUAGUGUCAUUACAAAUCAAAAGUCGUAAAUAUUUUGAAGGCAGAAACUCAAAACAGUAAAAUGUUUCAUUCAGUGAGGUUAUAUAAAAAAAUGCAGUGUGAAUUUACGGUGAAAAAUUGCAGUUCUCACAGCGAGUAAACGCUAAAUACCCAACCGAAGACACGGGCCCAGCAGUUGGUGUGUGUAAUUUGUCGUCAUUCGUAACGCCCAGCGAUAUUCCCCUGAUGUUUGCCACUUAGCAAAGGGUUCCGUAUCCAUUGCCAAUAUUUCGAGUACGAAUUCAAGCGAAUUUAUGUAGUGGAAGUGCGUAAAGAGAGUUUCAGCAGCUGAUAACCGUGGGAAAGGGAGAUAACAGCAUAGACAUCUGAUUCGGAGAUUUCAAGCGGCAUAAUUAAAGAUGUUAUUAAAACAAGCUCUGGAACACUUUGCUGAAGUCGGCCUCUAAGGAUUGCGAACCAACCGCUUGGGUAGACACAUUCAUCGUAUUCAAAGAAAAAGCUUCGGAUGUCAAAGAAGAAGCCUCUGAGGACUGCGAACCCUCCUUCUGGGUGGGCGAAUUUAACGUAUUCGAUCCAUUCGGCUGCUCAGGAUCAAGAUCUUUAAUAGAUCUUCCGUCAUCGGGAACUCGUUGUUUCCAGUUGGGCUUGCAUCCGCGUUUGGCAUCACUGUCAUUAUUGAAAUCAGUUGAGCUCUAGAGGUGGUUUCAGUUACCUGAGGAACCACCACCAUGCUCAACUGAAUUCAGAAAUGGCAGAGAUGACAAACGCGCAUGCCAAUCCAGCUUGGAAACAACUAAUUCCCAAUGACGGAAGAUCUAUUAAGGAUCUUGAUCCUGAGCAGCCAAAUGGAUCGAAUACGAGUUCUUAAUGACGGAAGAUCUAUAAAGAUGAUGUAUAUAUAUUUCCUAAUUGAGGCUCUGCAAUACUUCGCUGAAGUAUUCUUUGUCGAACGGAGAAGCUUCGGUUGUCAAAGAAGUAGCUUCUGUUGUCAAAAGAGGAGCCUCUGAGAAGUGCGAACCCUCCUUCGGGCGAAUUUAUCGUAUUCGAUCCAUUUGGCUGCUCGGCAUCCUCCGUUAUCAAAAACUUGUUGUUUCCAGUUGUUUCCAGUCAACAAAGGAGUGAUUUAAAAUACAAAAUUUAAGAUGA